CAGUGACUUUCUCUUCAUUAACUAGCGCAGCAGAUCUGAGCCUUCUUCAUCUGGAUUGCCCCUCCCCCUGUCACAGAAGUAGGCGGAGCUCUGUCUGUUUACCCGAUUCUACGCUAAGCAUUGAACUCUGUGCCAAUGAUGUAGCUCGCCAUGGCAGUGAGGAGGGCUACAGCUCGUCCACAACACGGUUACAGCGUCUGCUGGCCGAGUCUCAGGAAAUGGUGGCAAGUUUGGAAAGUUCAACCAAGAAGUCUGUCAGCCCUACGAAACCUCAGAGCCUGAUGAACUGCGAUGUCAUUUGUCACCUCCAAAGUAACCAUGGCAACGGCAGCCACUCCCAAACCUCCACCCAUAGCCAGGAGGGCAGACAAACACACGGGGUACCUAUUACAUCAUAAAACUCUUUACAUAACAGUUUAAUGCAUAGUAUGCUUGAAGACAUAACUGCAGCUAAAUGCCAUUUUCUUCUUAUCGUCCUAAAGGAAAGUGACUCCCAGAUCGAAAGCAGCCCACGUUUGCAUCAAGGAAGCAAGUAAUGUGGUCCAUAAAGCCACGAGAAGCAGAGAAUCCCCGUUCACUUCCAUCUUCUCCACAGCUUCUGAAAAUAAAUCAGUUCUUUGCAACCA
ensembl:lncRNA